AAAAGUUACGGACAAGUCAACUGUCCCCACAAUAUUUUUGACUGGUUAACGGGUCAUUUGACCUUAAAUUGAAAUAUUUCACUGUUGGUUACCUUACAUAUAAGUUCUUCAAAUUGGACCAGAACUUUCGGUUUGUUAAUAGUCAAGAAAGAGUGUUUGCUAUUCAAGUGUUCGAGCUCCACAGAUUGAUAAAGUCACAAAACCGACUUUUGGGUUUCAUGCGCCUUCAAGAUUAGAAGGUAUCCCCCAAUCUCGACCGGAUUUACCCGAAACCUCACAUUUGAUGAAGAUACUGAGAAAUGUGGGGGCAGAGCGGCCUAAUUGGCCCCACGAGGACGAGCCAUUCAUGGGCGUGCACCAAAUGAGGCCAACAUCGCCAUCUCAUAUGGCGUAACCUGCGAAUGAAUUGCAGCUGUACCUAUCAAAAUUUUAUCUUAUAUGGUUCCUUCA